rnacentral:rRNA from 1 species
UACGAGUGCCCCAAGCCGUUAUCCGGAAUUAUUGGGCGUAAAGGGUGUGUAGGUGGCUUUGUUAGUCUUCUGUUAAAUUCUUCGGCUUAACCGGGGGCCUGCAGGAGAAACGGCAAAGCUAGGGGAUGCGAGAGGUCUAUGGAACUCAUGGUGUAGGGGUGAAAUCCGUUGAUAUCAUGGGGAACACCAAAAGCGAAGGCAAUAGACUGGUGCAUUCCUGACACUGAAACACGAAAGCGUGGGUAGCGAAUGGG